UACGGAGGGUGCAAGCAUUGAUCGGAAUUACUGGGCGUAAAGGGCGCGUAGGCGGCCUAAAAAGUCGGAUGUGAAAUUCCGGGGCUCAACCCCGGAGCUGCAUUUGAAACUCUUAGGCUAGAGGAUAGUAAGGGAAAACGGAAUUCCACGUGUAGCGGUGAAAUGCGUAGAUAUGUGGAAGAACACCAGUGGUGAAGACGGUUUUCUGUGCUAUAACUGACGCUGAGGCGCGAAAGCUAGGGGAGCAAACAGG
rnacentral:rRNA from 1 species